UACAGAGGUCCCGAGCGUUGUUCGGAUUCACUGGGCGUAAAGGGUGCGUAGGUGGUGAGGUAAGUCGGAUGUGAAAGCUCGGAGCUCAACUCCGAAAUGGCAUUGGAACUACCGUUGCUCGAGGGUUGGAGGGGGGACGUGGAAUGCUUGGUGUAGCAGUGAAAUGCGUAGAUAUCAGGAGGAACACCGAUGGGCGAAGGCAGGUCGUCUGGGCCACUACUGACGCUGAGAAGCGAAAGCAUGGGGAGCGAACAGG
rnacentral:rRNA from 1 species